AAUUUUGGUGUAUAAAGUUUGUUAUUUGAGUUUUGUAUGAAGAAGUUAAGGUUGUUUGAAGUUAGGGUGUGAAUUGUUUACCGAUUGUCACUCUUUUAAGCAUAUAGAAAGUUGUAGAAGGUUUUUUGGAAAACGAAUGGUGUUUUUGGAAAGCUGGUUUGAAGGAAUAAAAUUUUUGUGCAAGGUUUGUUAACUUUGAGUCUGCAAUGGGAGAGUUAUGGCUGUUUUAAGUCUAGAUGCAAAAUUUGUACCUACUGUCACUCUUUCAAGCAUACAAAGAGUUGUAGAAAGGCAUUUAACAAUCGAAAGGUGGAAUUGAAAAGCUGACUUGAAGGGCUUU
rnacentral:lncRNA from 1 species